CUCAAAGCCGCCACACCCACCAUUCCCCUCUUCCGCCUCCUCCUCCUUCCCGGAUCCGUACUACCGCAACACCCACUCGUCUCCUCCUCUCUCUCUUCUAGCUUCCUCCUCCUUCAUGAUCUCUGCGUCGGCCGCAGCCUGAGAGGAGCAGCGGCGACGAUGUCAAGUUGCGAAGCGGUGGCGCUUGGGCGCGAGGCGGCAGAAGCAGCUACCCCGGGCCCCGGUUUGGGGGUUCGGUUCCAUAGCGCCGACGGCUUCUCCGUCUACAACACCGGGGCCAGCUAGUGUUCGUCGUGACCACAGCCGACCACCUCUCGUCGCUAGGGUCCAUGACGGCGGCCGGGUCAGGCUUAAGCGGAACUGCAGGAGGCCAUGAAGGCCACGGCGGCUGCUGGUGGAAGCAGCGGGUUUUGAAGGAGCGGUAGAUGUGGGUCCGCGGUUGGGGAAGACUCGCCGGCUGGGCGACGGCGAGCGCCGGUGAUGGCAACGAAAGGAAGCCAGGCGUCGGGGUACCGCAACAAUUCGGGUGCCUGCGGCAUGACAACAUUGCAGAAGCAUGCAGCGUUCUUCGACGGCGACAAGGACGCGGUUUUUUUCCAUUCAAUUUUUUUGGUUCCAUGUUAUCUGUAUCUUGGUGAAUGUACAACGCUAAUGUUCAGUUCAUUGUCUCAGUGUUUUUUGGCGGAGGUGUGUUCUUGUCUUGCGAGGUUCAUCCACCGUCGACGACACCUGCAACUCGUUUGGUAUAUUUGGUUAAUCAUAACCAGCAAAGAGGAGGAGUCGCAUACGUGCCUGGUAUUCUUUGUGUUGUAUGAAGUGUUCCUUCAACUAAUCAAGCAAUCUGACAUUAGUACUUUGUUUGAGCCACCGCCGAACGCUCAGCGAUGGGUUGAGUUGGUUGAGGUGUAGGUGGAGCAUUUGCUCGCCGAGGAUGGCACGUGCGCGAGCUGAAGUACGACGCCGGCCAACUUCGGCCUCUGAGGCUUCCCUGACGCGCUCCUCUACCACUACCUCCUCAACAACAAGGGCAACUCUGAUGGCAGCCAGUUGGAGUUUGCUAUGUUACAUAUGCAAGUCCUUUUGAAAUCUGAAACUUCUGUGUGGUGAUGAGUUUCUGCUCAUCUUGAUUGAUUCAUCUCCAGUGAACGGGGAUUCGUCCUUCCAUUGUGCUCAGCCACAAACCGAUUUGGAGGGGAAAUAGGAGAGCCUGACGAAUAUGAGCAUAAUAUCUAUGCAUAUUUUGAGUUUUUUAAGCCUAGUACUCUCUAUUUUUCAAUCUUAAAAUAGCAUGCCACAAGUUAAAAUACAGAAAAUUAAGUCACUGACCCAGUCUGUACAUAAUAUCUAUGCAUAUUUUGAGUUUUUUUUAAGAAUCUAUAUGCUCAAAUACUCAAUUUGGCACUUGCCAUACAGGCAAAAGUGCUACCUUAAAUUUGUAGCUCUGAUAAAAAAAUAAUUUCAAACGUAUCUGAUGGUAAAAAAGAUAAUGACGGGAAAACUACACACCAUUCAUCCAAGUGAAAGUCAGAGUUUCUCUUCUGAAGAGUACUUACUAUAUAGAACCACAUCUUUGUCAGGUUUAUUCUGUAUAACUGGGAAUACAUGUUUCAGGAGCCUAUUGUUUCUGUUGAUCGCAGUUACUAUCUUGUGUAGGUUGCAAUAUCUGCCAGCUUUGUAUUCUUUUUGUCAAUUCUGUGUUGGUAGGUUGGUCCAUACGGUAAAGCUUAAAACUUCUGAAAUAGACAUCUAUGGAUAUGGACAUGCUAAACAUUUUCAGGAAUGUAAGAAGGCAGUAGUCUCUUGAAAAGUCAUUUGAUCUCGCAAGAGAGAAGCUUCCUGGAACAUUUAAUUAUUUUUCUGUUGUGUUAUUGAUUUCACCAGUUUUAUGUCAGCCGAUUAAUUCUGAAGGAUUCUAAACUUCCUGAUAUAUGUAUUUAGAGCAUUUGCUGAGAUUUGAUGCAAAAUACUCAUGGCCAGGCAUUAUACUGUGCAUAAGCACAAUUUUUCAGUUUUUCUUUUUCUUGUUGCGGCAGUUUUUCUACAGCAAUAGCCAAUAGUGUGACAUCACACUACUCCAUUUUCACAGGCCAUGGAACAAUAAAUAUCUUGGCAAGGGAUACCCUAUGGUCUACUGUUAUAACUAUGUGUGCACUUUGGAUCUUUUGGAUGUCUUGUUUAGCAUCCUUUUUGACAGAGUUGAUUAAUUUAAUAGUGAAAUAGUUGGUUAUGUCAGAUGUGUAAUACUGGUUGUGGUAUCUCACAUUUGUCAAAUAUUCAUAUGUUGCUGGUAGUCAUGCUUAUGCCUAGGAUAUUAAGUAACCUUGUGCUAUGCUGUGACUAAAUAAAAGCAAUGUUUAGACUUAUCUUUUGUUUUCUCUACUUAAAGAGUCCCGUGUUUUGCAGGGUCUAACCAGGAAGGAUUGUGGGUUCAUAAUUUCAUGCCAAGACCCUAAAAGCAUUUUUGUCUCUUGCUUCGACUAUCAUAUCUAUUUUCUCUGUAAAUUCUAGACCUGCAGUUCAGAUUAUGAUCUUUGUAUGCCCUUUUUUUGUACCUUCUGAAGUAGGCUAACAUUACAAAAAAGAGCCACAUGUUUUAGAAAUUGAAUUAUGUGGUCACCAUGACAGCUUUUCAAGUUAUGGUUCUUUAGCCAUUUAAUGCAGUAUUGAUGGUGUAGUGUGCUUCAUGAAAUGAAAUAUAGUGCAUAGUUCGUCAGUUUUGAGACUUACCCACAUCUUUUUGCUACUCCUUUUGCCCUGCACCAUAUUUUCUUACAUGUAUUGCUUCACCCGUCACCAUAGAGGUCUUACCUCACCAGGACCAUGGAGCCGCUAGGAGUACGAUCAAUAUAUGAUCAUUCUUAGAGUUGAAAUUCUAAUUUUCACAUUUAAUCAAUUCCUUCAUCAAGUGAGUCAUAGUAAACCACUAAACAUGAAUCUUAUGUGUAUAUAUUACUUCUUCAUUUGCCACUUAUUUUGUUCAAAAUAUUUUUAUGAUAUUUCUAAAAAAGCUUAAGGUUAGAGAUGCGGGGCUAUUGUAGGAUGGAACAUAAAUUAAUGUUAAAAUAUUUUUUGAAUUUCCUUUAUAAACUACAAUACAAGAUAUGUUUGGGCCACACGAUUCUAUUCCAAAAAUUUAAACAACUAGGCAAUUGACGACACAUCAAAUGUUAUGUAUUGAUAUAGGUCAUAAUGGUUUUAUUCUAUGACAAGCUUAAUUUGCUUAUAAUGUAACCAUUUCAAGGAUUGACGAGUUUUUAAGCCAUAUGACCUUUGCACACUCAAGUUACACGUUGUAAAUGGCUCAUGUCUUGCACUGUUUUCGCUUUCCAAGCUACAGUCUUUUGAUAUACUCCUUCUAUAAACUAAUAUAAGACUAUUUAGAUCACUAAGUUUAGCAACCUUAAUGGUUUUAUAUUAGUUUACAGAGGGAGUACUUGAAAGGACAUUCUUUAUAUGUUGUUUGAUUCUAUCAGCCGUACAACCUAAAUUAAAAAGUAGGGAUCUACGCAGUGUAGUGGAACCAUUGUGCUUGCUGCAGUUUUAUUAUAGUGUUGAAAUGUUUUACUUAGUUUAUUCUGUACUUAAAAAUAUAUUUUUCCAGCCAUUGUUUUCUAAAUGUUUUCCUUAGUUUUAUUAUACCUGAUAUGGCCUUUGAAUAUGCUGAUAUGGCCUUUGAAGUUUCUGUUCUAUAACAAGCUUUGCACUGGUCUACUUGAGCAUGGUAUGGUUCAUUCUUUUUUGUUGCAGCUAUUCCAGAGAAGUUUAGAGCUCCACAACCUUAUGAAGACUUGAGUAGCAGAGAUGAAACAAUCAAUUAGAUGAGAUGCAUCACAUGAUUUUUUUUUCUCUUGACGUUGAUGGGUAUUGAACCUAUAGAUCAACUUAUCAAUGGAACCCUUAUCAGUGUUGAGAAUAUGGCACAAAAACUCAAACACAGGACGAUCAGCCGAGGGAAGAAGCUAAGAAGCAUCAGGAAGGACUUUUAGGAUGGUAUUGCGGUCAAAUGCAUCCUAGGAUAGGUCUUUAAGAAUUAUGGUGUGUUUCACUCCUUUUUUGUUUACCUUGCCACAUUUGUUAGCCUCAAUUUGUUAUUAUCCUUCUAAACAGGUGCAGAACUAAAACUUA